rnacentral:piRNA from 1 species
UCACCCAAGCAGAGGCCACCUUCUCCUGA